GGCAGAAUGAUGCAGCGUCUCAGUCGGGUAAAUCGGAGGACAUGGCAGCUAUUGUGGUGCCAGUGUUGUUCCUGCUGUUAGUGGGUGUGUGUGGAGGCCUGGUGGUGCUUUACCUCAGACAUCGUCGCCUACAGCACAGCUUCACUGCCUUCGCUAACAGCCACUACAACUCUCGUCUGGGCUCUGCUAUUUUCUCCUCAGGAGAUGAGCUGGGUGAUGAUGAUGAAGACGCUCCUAUAAUCAGUAGUUUUUCAGAUGACGUUCCGAUGGUCAUUGCGUAGCUGGACAAACCUUUCUCUUCUCCUCCUUCACUUUCACUCCACAACCUUAUCAUAUUUUCUUAUGUGCUCAUCCGGCACACCUUCAAGCUACUCAUGACCCCUGUCACUUAAAAAAAAAGCUGGAUUUGUGUUUCCAGACCCACAGGAAGACAAGAAAGCAUGGAGCGAAAGAGAUAUUUUUGAAUAUAAGAUGCACUUUUUUCGGAUGUGCAAUAACUUUUUUUUAUAUAUAUAAUAUAUGUGGGUAUUGGACAUUGUAGGCAUUAACUGAAGCAAACUGUGAAGGAGUUGGUCAGCUGAUCAGCACACACACACCGACCCAACUAGGAAAAGACCCUUAUUGUACAACAAAGUCUCACAUGAGCAUUACAUUUUGCUUAAAGCCAAAACAAGCACCUAGAUAUGGGUACAUCAGUGCAAAAACACACACAAAAGAAGAGUAAAAAAAAAAACGAAAAAGCUAACCUCACAUGUGUACAGAUGAAAAAACGGACCAAUGAAUGCUGACGAAAAGGGAAGCCGGUACAUAGGCUGUUGACAGUAAAUUGCACAGGAUCAGAUUUUUGUUCGCAGAUGCUCGAUUUGUGUCACUUUAUGUCAGUAGACCUGCAUUUGUCCAUGGUACCUUGUUUACACUUUGUAUCCAUUUGUUAAUUUCCACGCUCAGCAAUAGGUUGAAUUGAAAACAAAAAUCAUGACCUAUUUUAGUUGCUUCAUCAGCUGUUUUUGGAAAACAAUGACCAACAUUAAGAAAGUGACAGUUAUUUGAUUGUUGUCCACAUGCUCGGUCCACAAAAAAACACCAUCUAAUGUUCACCAUCUGCUUGUUUUGUUUUUCCUUUAUCGUACGCAUUUUAUCUAGCAAAAAAUAAUCUUGCAUAUCCUGUGUGCUGCCAUGGUUUUAGUCCUUUAGUGUUCUCAGGGAACUGGGUUAAUGUUGAUGUACCAGCGAUAUCAGUCACACUGCCACAGGCAGCGCAGUGUGUUGAACUGGUAGACUGUUGCGCUUGACAGUCUCUCCGUGAAGCCUGUGCAGAAGCUUCAUCCUAGUCUCUUGUGCCAAGCUUAAGAAAAGCAGAGGGUAGAGCAAACGUCUUGCCUUCCCGAACGUUGUGAAGAGGUACAUAUGUUAAAUUCAUGUUUUAUUUUAACUGGAUUGCGGGUGUUACUGAACAGAUUUUCUUGUUUUCUAUUCUCUUGUAUUGAGAUGUCCAGAAAAAGACAAAUGCUUAAAAUCCACCCCCUACUUUUUCAAGGAUUUUAAAUGAGGUUUAUGGCCAGUUUACAUUCAAAUGCUUAUGGUCAUUAUUAUUAUCCCAUUGUUAAUUGACAAUAACCAAAACAUUUUAGUGAAGCCGUUCCUUUCGGUACCACAUUGCCUUAUUAUGAACACACUGAGUAAAGUAUGUAGCAGUAUGUCAAUGUGAUCACACAUGCACACGCUCACAGAAAACUGAAAGGUGUAAAAAGACUGUAUAAAGACAGGAGUAGUGUGAUAGGAAAUGUAUCGACAUAUUGUGAAAUGACCACUGUAUAAUGUUUUAAAAGUUCCAGUGCAGCACUUGUGUGAAUCCUGAGCCACCGUUUCUUUAUUUUAUCUUGUUUGUGUUCUUUACUCGCAACCAUUUGUGGCAAUAUUUGUCAUGCCCAGUUUGAAACCCAUUUGUUUUUUGGUCAAUAAGAUGUAAAAGUUUUCCCGUAGCAGUGACUUUGGACACCGCCAUGUUGAAAUUUUUGAUCUUGCCUGCCUACUGAGGGUUUUAAAGAUACGAACAUUUUAAGUGGUACAGUCUGAGAUGUUUUAUGAAUCACUUAUGCUGAAAUAAAUGUGGAAAACUGGUGAAUCU